rnacentral:rRNA from 1 species
AUGCUGGCGCUGCAGUUCGGGUACGCCGGCUUCCACAUGGUGUCACGUCUGGCGCUCAACAUGGGCAUCAGCAAGCUCGGCUUCUGCCUGCUGGGCCUGGACAACACGUCGCCGACGUUCGCCUCCAAGGUGCGGCUCGACCGGCGCGACGGCGUGGCCAAGGUGGUGGGCACGCUGGCGUGCGUGGCGGGCGCAUCGGUGAUCAUGUUGUACAAGGGCCCAACCAUCUUCGGCCCUGCCGGCGCCGGCGACGAUAAGUCGUUGCAGGUGCCGUUUUUGGUAGCGGUGGCCGGGGAGGGGAAGAACUGGACGCUGGGGUGCGUGUACCUUAUCGGGCACUGCCUGUCGUGGUCCGGCUGGCUGGUGCUGCAGGCACCGGUGCUUAAGAAGUACCUCGCGAGGCUGUCAGUCACCUCCUACACCUGCUUCUUCGGUGUCAUCCAGUUCCUCGUCAUCGCCGCCUUCUUCGAGAGGGACGCCGGCGCGUGGGUUUUCCACUUCGGCUCCGAAAUCUUCACCAUCCUCUACGCCGGCUUCAUCGCGUCCGGCGUGGCGUUCGCCGUGCAGAUCUGGUGCAUCGACCACGGGGGGCCGGUGUUCGUGGCGGUGUACCAGCCUGUGCAGACGCUCGUCGUCGCCAUCAUGGCCUCCAUCACCCUCGGAGAGAAGUUCUACCUCGGCGGGAUCAUCGGCGCCGCGCUCAUCAUCACCGGGCUCUACCUUGUGCUCUGGGGCAAGAGCGAGGAGAGGUCGCGCAACGGCAAGGAGGCGGUGGCCAUGGCCGCGGCGUCCGCAGCUUCCUCCGGCGGCGAGCGCGAGGUCCGGAGCGCCAAGCUGGGCUCCUCCAUCACCCAGCCUCUCCUGCCGCCUUCCUCAACCACCUCCGACAACGUCUGGAACUUAGUUGCUUGCUGUCCGUUCUCAACGAUCGACUGA